UCAUAGCCCCGAUAGGAACGGCAUCCUUUUUUUGAGCGAGGCGGCGGAGCGAAGCGGAGCCGACCGAGCGAGAAAAAAGAUACAGUGGAUAGCGGGAAUAGCU
rnacentral:sRNA from 1 species